CUCGGAAGAUCAUACCUAGAGUUGAGGCUUUGCCUGCUAUCUCUUACCCAUGUCUUUUGAGUACCUUACGUUUCCUCGGUGGGUUCGCCCACCGAUUGGACAAACUUUAAACCCUUUGCAGUUGAAAUCAGCGUCUGAAAAAACUUAAUAGUUACAACUUUCAACAACGGAUCUCUUGGUUCUGGCAUCGAUGAAGAACGCAGCGAAAUGCGAUAAGUAGUGUGAAUUGCAGAAUUCAGUGAAUCAUCGAAUCUUUGAACAGCACAUUGCAGCCCCUUGGUAUUCCAUGGGGCAUGCCUGUUCGAGCGUCAUUUGUACCUUCAAGCUCUGCUUGGUGUUGGGUGUUUGUCUCCUGUAGACUCGCUCUUAAAACAAUUGGCAGCCGGCGUAUUGAUUUCGGAGCGCUAGUACAUCUCGCGCUUUGCACUCAUAACGACGACAUCCAAAAGUACAUUUUUACACUCUUGACCUCGGAUCAGGUAGGGAUACCCGCG
rnacentral:rRNA from 1 species